UUGUUUAAUAUGCUUGUUGUUUACUUUAGAGGUAGGUUUUGGUCAGGUGCAGAGUACAGCGCUGCGGUCAAAACUGCAGAUUUUGUGCAAAGGUAAGUGUUAAAAGUUUGAGAUGUGGCGGAUGCUCAUGGGCCAGUCAGAUCGAUGUAAAGGAUUCUUUGAAGUGAACAUACAUUUAUCACGCCGUUGAAAAUACAGUGAAUGGAAAUGCGUGAAAUAUCGACGCGACCAUUGCACAGGAUGAAAGACCUUAGAGCUCUUUGCUCAGAACCUAAUUGUUUCCGAGGUGGUUUAAGGGGAAUGACAGAAACUUCGCUACACCCAGCUUGGGCCGCCGACUCCUCUCAAAAGCCGAAGCCACAAAGCGAAGAGAGUGUUUCAGUGGGAUUCUCCCUCUCCUGAUUGCAUGUGGGUGCACGUCUGAGCGUUCCCGGCUGCACUGGAAGGAGGGAGAGAGGGAGGGGGUGGAUAUUUGCAAAAAGCACAUUUCUUGUUCCAGAAUCAGAAAUUCUUUCCUUCUGCCGUAAAGAUCGCGGAUUAGGCAAACACGUUGCCCCGUUCAGCCACUCGCCCAGUUCACCCUGCGACCAAAUACGUGCAUUCCACAGAUUGCUGCCAAGCCUCUCUCUCUCUCGCAGUGGCGCAGAUAAAAAAUAUGCAGAGCAGGAUGAGCGUGGGUCUCCGACGCUGCCAAGCCGGGGGAUUUCUUUGCCAUCUAAGGUAGUCUCUCAUUUCUCAACAUAGUCACGCUCCGAACAAAACCCGCCUCCACUCUAUGAUCUUUGGUAUAAAGCGCAGAAAACUCGCUACCAUAUAAGGGAAAAGUUAAAGGGGCUGGAGGUGACGUUAACCAGUUGCACGUUUGAGACAAGACACAUUGCGAGGAGGGGGAAAAAAAAACUUUCGACUAACCCAUAGCCACACACUGAAACUGGUGCCAACUCGCCCGCACUUGUAACCGGCUAUUCAAGUCGACAGCCAGCCUGUUAGCAUUGCAACCAGCUAGUGGAGUUUUAUUUACAGUGGUCGUUAAGGCGGCAGUGUACCACAGCCCAUAAAUCCUAACAGGACGGUGCAGGUAUUUGAAAACGUCAACCAUCUCUACUUUGGUGCCAUCAAAGCAAACUGGGGAAUGUCCUAAAGUGGAUCACUGUCAUAUCUCACGGGCAGCUUAUAGUAGGUAUUGCCAAAGUACUAUCUCUCCCUGAAUAGUACAACCCUCCACCGCCAAAUAUUCAGAACCCUGCUCCCUACCAAAGAAAGGUCAACGUUUAUCAAGGCCUCCUAUUCCAAACUACUGAACUUACAAACUCCCUCGUUCCAACAGCCAAAUUAAAGCCAGGAUUCAUCAGUCAUUCUUCAUCCUUUCCUCUCCAUUGAACAUCUUGGACAGAGUUUGAAGGUUUAAAAAAAGGGAGUCCACUUCUUCCCUGCAUCAAAUGGCAUAUUUACUUUUGAAAAGCAGUUGCGGCAUUUACACAUUAUAUCACAACCACUGUGGUAAGAACCACUGUUUACUGCUGAGCCAACACCAAAAUAACAAGUUUGUCAAUCAUUUAAAAACUUCUUCAGAAACAUCGUCACCUGCUAAAUGCUGGUGGUCUGUAUUUUCAAUUAAAUAUCGGGCUUAGAACAUUGACAGUGACAGAAAGGUCAUAUUAUGUUCAUAACCCAGCCUCUUAUUGAACACAUUGAUGAACCAGUAAUCUGGAUGAAGUUAACUGGAUAUAUUGUAAUUUAAAUUGAAAGAGGAAAUAUUCCUCAGACCACACCAGUCAUUUGGUUCAGGACACAAUGAGCCAAGUUACAGAUUUAUUAAAAGGUUCCUUUGUAAGUAAUUGGGCAAGCCAUCUCUGCGUGGAAUAGGGGAGAAGUGGGGAGGGGGGGUCAAAGGUUCACAUUACAUCAAGGUUGGGCUUUGAUCCCUGGUCUAUCAGGGGAAUUAAAUGCAUUGCCGCAAAAGUGAUACUCUGAAUACUCUCUCUUUUGCUUUAAAAAAAAAACUUUGUAUGUUUCCUGAAAUAGUUUAUCAGUCUGGGAUUCUGCACUUAAUGGCAAUGUGGACUCAGUAGCAACUUUAACU